GCCCCUUGUGAUGUAGCCACACAACUCAGCAUCCAUCUCUCUGUUUCUUAUACAAAUCCUUCCUAGGAGACAUGCUCUGAACAUUCCAGCUCUGCAUGGCACUCUGAUCCUUCUAUGGUGGUAGGGCAGUCCAAGUAAUUCAAAAGGUGUGGGAAUGGUGCCACCUGUGUUUAGAUGUGGGGAAGAAAUGUCCACUUCCCAGGCUACACAGUUCAAUCACUGUCUGAGUCUCCACCAAGAGCUUCCUCAGGAAAAGAGUGCCCUGAAGUUCCCAGCUGAAUGCAGCCAGCUGUCCCCUCUAUAGGACCUGAGCUCAGCAAGGUGGUAUCGCUAGUAAUUGAAGGACUAGGUUGUGCUGUAACAGUAGGAAUGCUUGAACGUGGGAAGGGGGCAUGUGGGUCUCUAGAAGACUCCCUUCUCUCAUUUUUGUUGCUCUGGGUUGAGAAUCCUAGCAUAGCUUUGAGACCCCACGCUUUUGGGGAGAGGGAGUUUUACAGCUGAGAUAUCCCUCCAGCUUCUCAGAUCUUUCUGCGUCUUGACCUUUCUUAUCAGGCUCUAUGUGGUGUCUUCUGUAAAUUCUUGGUUAUAGCAUUUCAGUCCAGCUAGCUUUCAGUUGGUUAUUCAGGUUGAUUGCCAUAUAAUUUAGCUGUAAAUCUGGUUUGACACUGGGAGCAGUUGAGUUUAGCUUCCACCUACUCUGCAGCCAUCUUGUAAUCCAUAUAUCAUUUUUUUUUC